AGCCAACCCCAAAGGCAAGGCAAGUUGAGUCAAAAGCAAACACUAGUCGUACUCCCCUACUCUCGUACUUAUCGCUAAAAACUAAUCUUGAAGCGAUCCACAGAGAGUGAGAGAGAGAGAGAGCCGCAUAUUGGCAGGCCUCUGAGCCAUGUGUGUGCGCAUGGCCUAUACCAUAUUAAUUAUGUUUAUAAUUUGCACAACGGUUAACUCGCUCUAUUAAUUCCACAGCGUUUUUUUUUUUUAAAGCCAGAGUGGUUCUUUUUAUGCUCUUUGCGGGAGAGGUAUUAUGAUUGGAGAGUUAUUUUGCAGAGAGC
rnacentral:lncRNA from 1 species